rnacentral:rRNA from 1 species
UGGUGGAGUGAUUUGUCUGCCUAAUCGCGAUAACGAACGAGACCUUAACCUGCUAAAUAGCCCGUAUUGCUUUGGCAGUACGCCGGCUUCUUAGAGGGACUAUCGGCUCAAGCCGAUGGAAGUUUGAGGCAAUAACA